rnacentral:rRNA from 1 species
AUUGAACGCUGGCGGCAUGCUUUACACAUGCAAGUCGAACGGCAGCGCGGGCUUCGGCCUGGCGGCGAGUGGCGAACGGGUGAGUAAUGCAUCGGAACGUGCCCAGUAGUGGUGGAUAGCCCGGCGAAAGCCGGAUUAAUACCGCAUACGACCUGAGGGUGAAAGCGGGGGACCGAAAGGCCUCGCGCUAUUGGAGCGGCCGAUGUCGGAUUAGCUAGUUGGUGGGGUAAAGGCUUACCAAGGCGACGAUCCGUAGCUGGUCUGAGAGGACGACCAGCCACACUGGGACUGAGACACGGCCCAGACUCCUACGGGAGGCAGCAGUGGGGAAUUUUGGACAAUGGGGGCAACCCUGAUCCAGCCAUGCCGCGUGCGGGAAGAAGGCCUUCGGGUUGUAAAGCGCUUUUGUUCGGGAAGAAAUCCUCUGGGCUAAUACCCCGGGGGGAUGACGGUACCGGAAGAAUAAGCACCGGCUAACUACGUG